UCAAGUUUCCCUACACCAUGAAUGGCCUGAUGGUAAGUGUUGACUGGUCACUAAAGGCUUUGCCACACUCAUUACACUUGUAAGGUUUCUCUCCAGUAUGAAUUCUCCUAUGUCUUUUAAGGCGUGAUCUGUGACUGAAAACUUUGUCACAUGCUUCACAUUUGUAAGGUUUCUCUCCAGUAUGAAGUCUAUGAUGACGUGAAAGGUGUGACUGUACAUUAAAAGUCUUCCCACAUUCAUUACACUUGUAAGGUUUCUCACCACUAUGAAGUCUACGAUGGCAUGGAAGAGAUGACCUGUGACUGAAGGUCUUGUGACACUCAUUACACUUGUAAGGUUUCUCUCCAGUAUGAAUUAUCUUGUGUCUCUCAAGGUUUGAUUUCUGACUGAAAACUCUGUCACAUUCUUCACAUUUGUAAGAUUUCUCUCCAGUAUGAAGUCUAUGAUGACGUGCAAGGCUUGACUGAUGAAUAAAAGCCUUACCACAGUCAUUACACUUGUAAGGUUUCUCUCCAGUAUGAAGUCUAUGAUGACGUGAAAGGUGUGAUUGUUGAUUAAAAGCCUUGCCACAUUCAUUACACUUGUAAGGUUUCUCUCCAGUAUGAAUUGCCUUAUGAAUUACAAGGGUUGAAUUUUGACCAAACAUCUUGCCACACUCAUUACACUUGUAAGGUUUUAUUCCAGUAUGAAGUCUACGAUGGCAUCUAAGGGAUGACUUGUAACUGAAGGACUUUCCACAUUCAUUACACUUGUAAGGUUUCUCACCAGUGUGACACCUAUGAUGGCAUGUAAGGGAUGACUUGUAACUGAAGGACUUUCCACAUUCAUUACACUUGUAAGGUUUCUCACCAGUGUGACAUCUACGAUGGCAUGUCAGGGA
ensembl:lncRNA novel transcript, antisense to ZNF578